ACGAAGGGGGCAAGCGUAAUCAGGAAUUAUUGGGCGAAAAGAGUGAGUAGGUGGUUUUUAAGCGUGAGGGGAAAGGAAAUAGCUUAAUUAUUGUAAGCCUUGCGAACUGGAAUACUUGAGUGCAGGAGAGGAAAGUGGAAUUCCUAGUGUAGCUGUGAAAUACUUAAAUAUUAGGAGAAGCACCAGGGGCGAGGGCGGCUUUCUGGACUGAAUCUUACACUGAGGCGCGAAAGCGUCUGGCUCAAGGAG
rnacentral:rRNA from 1 species